UACUGGUAUCUCAUCACUCCCAGCAGUAUUCUUGGCUAUUCAGCGCUGACUCAUUUUCCCCACUGAUGGUAGGCAGUAAUCUUGCCCCCUCGUCUGUGGUAGCCUGGGACUUCCUAAUGGUCUGUGAAGAUGUAAAGGACCUUGAGCCAGGCAGGAGAAGGAAUUCUGCUUACCUUGACUUAUUACGUGGGGAACAAAAGGCAGUGGAGUGUGUGUGUGUGGGGUUAAUACUCCUCCCUUAAAGAAGCCGAGGUUAGGCCAUUGGAGUCCCUGGGCCCUAAAUUCCAAGAGGGUGGGGCAGAAAAAGGAAUUUGGCUGUGGGGGAAGGAUUGAAGAGUUUCCCUUGCUUGACUCUUCUGCUGUUUAAAAGCAGUCAGAGAUGCCUCACAGGGAAGCAGCCCUACCUUAUUUCUCCCCUUUUUGCUCUGAAGAAUUGGUGCUUGUAGUAUUUCCAGGAUGUGUGGGGAAGCUCACCCCAUUAUAGGGGCAGCCAGUCCAUUGAAGGAGAAAGAAAUCAGAGGUCAUCAAGUCCAGCCCCCUGCACUGAGGUGGAACCAAGUAAACUUCUUCAUCCUGGGUUGGUGUCUGUCCAACCUGUUCUUAAAAACCUCUCAACAAUUUUGUUGAAUGAAUUCAGUGCCCUGAAAGCUUCUUUUUUCUUUGUGACUAUUAAAGAGCUUCAGUAUUUGCUGUCUUAAUUUUAUUUUAAUUAUGGAAUAUUUUGUAGAAGAUAAAUAUACAGUAUAUUAAAGGUAUCUGAUUUAA